rnacentral:rRNA from 1 species
AGCAGCCGCGGUAAUUCCAGCUCCAAUAGCGUAUAUUAAAGUUGUUGCAGUUAAAAGCUCGUAGUUGAAUUUCGGGAUUUGUCAGUUGGUCGGGCUUCACUGUCCGUACUGGCUUGAUGGAUUCUUACCUUCUGAAUAACCAGCAUGCUAUUAAGUUAGUGCGUUGGGGAAGCAGAUCUAUUACCUUGAAAAAUUGAGUGCUUAAAGCGGGCUUGUGCUUGAAUAGAUUAGCAUGGAAUAAUAAAAUAGGACGGCAUGGUUCUAUUUUGUUGGUUUCUAGGAUCACCGUAAUGAUUAAUAGGGAUAGUUGGGGGCAUUAGUAUUCAAUUGUCAGAGGUGAAAUUCUUGGAUUUAUUGAAGACUAACUUCUGCGAAAGCGUUUGCCAAGG